AACGCGAAGAACCUUACCCAGGCUUGACAUGCAGUAGACCGGUCCAGAGAUGGACCUUUCCUUCGGGACUGCUGCACAGGUGCUGCAUGGCUGUCGUCAGCUCGUGCCGUGAGGUGUUGGGUUAAGUCCCGCAACGAGCGCAACCCUUAUCGUUAGUUGCCAACAUUUAAGGUGGGAACUCUAACGAGACUGCCCGGGUUAACCGGGAGGAAGGUGAGGAUGACGUCAAGUCCGCAUGGCCCUUAUGUCUGGGGCUACACACGUGCUACAAUGGUCGGUACAGAAGGCAGCGAAACCGCAAGGUGAAGCAAAUCCCGAAAACCGGCCUCAGUUCAGAUUGUAGUCUGCAACUCGACUACAUGAAGAUGGAAUUGCUAGUAAUGGCGAGUCAGCAACAUCGCCGUGAAUACGUUCACGGGUC
rnacentral:rRNA from 1 species